AGCAGCCGCGGUAAUUCCAGCUCCAAUAGCGUAUAUUAAAGUUGUUGCAGUUAAAAAGCUCGUAGUUGAAUUUCGGGGUCAGUAGAUUGGUCGUGCCACUGGUAUGUACUGGUCUUACUGGCUCCUCCUUCCUGAUGAACCGUAAUGCCAUUAAUUUGGUGUUGCGGGGAGACUGGACUGUUACUUUGAAAAAUUAGAGUGUUUAAAGCAGGCUAACGCUUGAAUACAUUAGCAUGGAAUAAUGAAAUAGGACGUUCGAUCUUUAUUUUGUUGGUUUCUAAGAUUGACGUAAUGAUUAAUAGGGAUAGUUGGGGGCAUUAGUAUUCAAUUGUCAGAGGUGAAAUUCUUGGAUUUAUUGAAGACUAACUACUGACGAAAGCAUUUGCCAAGGAUGUUU
rnacentral:sRNA from 1 species